GACUCCUCUCCGUAGUCUGGAGGUUAGGUCGCAAGGGUGCGGCGGCGGGGAACCCUGGUUCGAAACCAGCUGGAUCCGCCGUCCCGAUGCGCUUGGCCCCGCAUCCACGACGGCCCCGGGCGUCGAGACCCAGCCGCGAUACGCACACCCCAAAUACGGAGGGGAGUCUUU
rnacentral:ncRNA from 15 species